rnacentral:rRNA from 1 species
CCUACGGUGUGCUGCAGUGAGGAAUAUUGGUCAAUGGACGAGAGUCUGAACCAGCCAAGUAGCGUGAAGGAUGACUGCCCUAUGGGUUGUAAACUUCUUUUAUAUGGGAAUAAAAUGUUCCACGUGUGGGUUUUUGUAUGUACCAUAUGAAUAAGGAUCGGCUAACUCCGUGCCAGCAGCAGCGGUAAUACGGAGGAUCCGAGCGUUAUCCGGAUUUAUUGGGUUUAAAGGGAGCGUAGGUGGGUUGUUAAGUCAGUUGUGAAAGUUUGCGGCUCAACCGUAAAAUUGCAGUUGAGACUGGCAGUCUUGAGUGCAGUAGAGGUAGGCGGAAUUCGUGGUGUAGCGGUGAAAUGCUUAGAUAUCACGAAGAACUCCGAUUGCGAAGGCAGUUCACUGGACUGCAACUGACACUGAGGCUCGAAAGUGUGGGUAUCAAACAGGAUUAGAUACCCGAGUAGUC